rnacentral:misc_RNA from 1 species
AAGGGGAAGAUUGACAAAAGUUCAUUUAGUUCUGGUGCUUCACUUUGAGUACUUUGUUCACGUUUUGAUCCUAGCCUGGCCGAUUCUCUUCCCUAUGGUGUUGUUUCACUAGUUAACAUCGUUUAGAGUGUUCAUCAUUCAAAGUGAAAGAAUUUGCACACCACAUUGGUAGACGUUUUGCUUUCAUGGACAACAGUUUCUUGGGUCUCUUCCGGUCCAUAUCAUCACUCCAAAAGAGGAAAAUAUCUGCCAAAUUUCUUGUGCUAAACAAAAAUGAAUAAAAGUGCUGAGACAGCAUUUACCACACAAGUAGAAGAGACGUUCAAACCAUUGUUUGCUGACAAUUGGUGUCAAACGCUUAGCGAGGUCACGACAACGGAUUUCGAAUGGAACAUUCCGUUUCCGUUUCUAGAAUAUCCUCCGCCUUCUAUGAAAUCAUCCCGUUUUUCAUCAGGAGAAUUUUGCUUUUGGACUCUUGAUCUUCAGCAGGUCUUAUUUGACGAAGACAAAAAUAUUAUGCUUGAAUAUCAUCCCAGCGCAAACAACACUAUAACCGGCGGUUCCGCUCAAGUGAUCACUGGAAUUGAGAAUAAACAAGGCGAUUUGCUUCCCACAAAAACGGUCGUUAUUGUGAGUGAUGUGUUGGGUUCAUUCAAUCGACAUAGGGUGUCUCGUUUCUUUAAAGAAAAAAUUCGAAAAUCUGAAUUUUAUGAAAAAGAAGGCAACGUUACCAUCUACUGUACUGUCAAACUUUGGACUUUCAAGGAAAACAAAUCGCGCACUUCUUCGUCUAAAACUGCGUCCGAUGUUUGUUACAAUGAAUUUGUUUUUAUCCAACUUGAAGAACUAUUUAAAAACAAGUCGCUAAGUGACGUUAAGUUAAUCGUCGGAGGGCGAACAUUGCACGCCCACAAGAUCAUCCUAGCAGCAAGAAGCAAAGUGUUUGCUGCCAUGUUUCAUCACCAAACAGCAGAGAAGUUGUCGAACAAGGUAGAAAUCCAGGACGUCGAUCCGGACGUCUUUCAAGAGGUGCUUCGUUACCUGUACACUGGCCGGAUGUUUCGGGAAACGCUGGACAAAAUGGCGGUCAGUGUUCUGGCGGUGGCGGAUAAAUAUUUGCUGGAUGAGUUGGAAGCCGAAUGCGAAAAUCAUUUGAUGAAGAGGAUGUCCGCCGACAACUGCGCAGAGUUGCUUGCAUUUGCUGCCCAGCCACAUCCAGUGAUCCAUUUGAAAAAGUAUGCUUUUGAUUUCCUUCUGCGUUUCCCUGCCAUUGUGAUGGCGACCGAUGGAUGGAAAAAGGCGAAAAAAGAGAAACUCCUUUGGUGGUAUGAAUCAAUUGAAGUGCUGUGCAGUCGGAAGCUGUUAGAUGUCUAGCAUAAGAUGAGAAAUAACUGUGUUGUUCGAAAGAAAGUAAACUGUAACUGUAAGAAAUUUAUCUGGAAUCGAUUUGUUCCAUGGACUCAGCUCUGGAAUCGGUUGUAUCUCUUUUGUAUUAUGCUAAAGUUAAAUCUCCUGUGCUGUGUUAAAAGAACAAAGAAAAUCAAUAAUUAUAAAGAAAAAUGAGUCAAGUUCUUCAUUUGCCGCUGUUAAUAAAUUCUACAGCGAUUACGGAUGGUUGGCAUUUAUUUUUCUCACGGAUCCAGGAGAUUCAGUAAUGGAUCGUCCAAUGAGGCUGGGACAGUUAACCGAGGCAAACAGCUGGCAAAAUUUUGAUAUUUUUGCUUAGGUACGCUAAGGGAAAGGGACGUUCAUUAAAUGGCCGACCGUUUGCUAGCCCCUCCCCUAAAUUGUUAGUAGUUGGAAUGCUCGGACGGAAAAUCCAUUUAGUUCUGGUGCUGUCCUCCGACUGUUUGUUCACUUGUUGAUCCUUGUCUGAGUCAAAUUCCCUUCGCUGUGUUGCUGUUUCAUUAGUUGGCAACAAGUUCUGCCCCUUGUGUUCAGCAAUCAAACGAAGGCCAUUCAAAGCUAUUGAAUUCACACAAUUUUCAAGCAGAACGUUGUUUGGCCCGAUCGUUUAAGCAUUUUUUCUGUCUUAAAAAAUGUAUGUCUAUAAAAUGAAUGGGUUAACGUUCGGAAAUGUGUGACUUCUUUCUUUGUGGGAAGACAGUGCAGGUGAAUCAUCAAACUCUUGUGGCGAUUGUGAAGAUCAAUAACAGUCAGAUCAAGUUGGCAUUGCUCGAUCUCGAUCUGCCGCCGGAAAUGGAAAUCUCCGUUGCCGACUGAACUCCACCGUCUUCACGACUGAGGUGGACAAAAUGACGCAGUACUACUUGUUCAACCUACCUUUAAUGUCCAGUGGCAGGUACGAUCGGAGUUCAGCGAAUUACAGUUCUCCCUUUGGAGUCGCUGAAUAAAGUUUUUUUCAGCAUCGGUCACUUUUUGCUCCCA